rnacentral:lncRNA from 10 species
CUCUCUGGGACCGCAGCCGGAGCAUUUAGGCAGAAGGUGCUCUCUUUCGUCUGGGUUUGCUGGCUACGGGGAUCAGGUGCGGUGGCUCAAUUUCCUGACCUGCUCCAUGGAAGGUGACCUAAUGGUGGUGACUGCGGGAGGAGCAGCAGCAAUAGCAGGAGUGGUACUCAAGUUCUGGAUGGCUAUCAUAAUGGAAAUAAAUCUUAGUCCACACACUCUUCAUUAACCUGGAAACCAGUGGGCAACAUUGACGACUGACAGGAGGGGACCUUGCCUCCAAGGCUCCAAGGCCGGAUAAGAAUGGCUUUACCUUCCUGACUCCAGAAAGAACCGCCCUUUUUCCCCACCUCCCUGAUGGCUUCCUGGUGCUUGUGAUUCUACCAGACUAGCUUUUCCUUUCCCCCUAAUAAUAGCUGCUAAUUAAUAUUUAGCGAGGGUUUACCAAGCGCCGGGCUCUGAGCUAAGUACCUUGUAUGUACUUUUUUCAUUUAAUCCUCUCAACAGUUCUACUAGGAAGGUACUACUAUUUUCAGUAUUUACUAAUAUUUGGGUAUUUCUUAAUUACUAAAAACAUUUCUCAUUCUACAGAUGAAAAUUGAGAGUAGAAGUUGGUCAGUAGCUUUCCGAAGUCAGCUAGAUAGAAAGAAGGCAUUGAAGUCUAUGGCCAUACCACCCUGAAUGCGCCCAAUCUCGUCUGAAAGAAGGCAUUGAAGCAGAGCUCAGACAUCCCAACCCCAGACUCUCCACCAAACCAUUGUCUUUGUUCCUCAUAGUGUGGUCCUUAGACCAGCAGUCGUAGAGUUAUUUGGGAGCUUGUGAUGCAAGAAUCUCAGGCCCUGCCCAGACUUGCAAAAUCAGACUCAGCAUUUUAAACACAAUCCCCCAGAGUUGGUAUGCACAUUACAGUUUGAGAAACGUGCCUGGUUAUAAGAGCUUCCUUCCCUCGCAAGACGCAAAUCCGUCUUGCAUGAGGAACACAGCCGAUACCAGACAGAGAUACUUCAACAGGAAUGAGUUUCAGCUCUUCUCUGGGAAGCAGGAUGUUAGGAACCCAGCGGGGCCACCAGGCUGUUGAGGGACACGAGGAAGUGGAAGGGAUGGCCUUUGUAAUUGCCAUCAUCAGAAACGGGUUGGCCUAGAAAUCUGUAUCCCAAGGUGAAGCAAUGUCUUUUUUUCUGCAUGCUUUUUUCCUGCAUGUUGCAGAGUUGGGAGAACAGACUGCCUGUGUAGACCCCAGUGAGAAACAGCUGCAAAGAGGCAUUUCUGGGUUUUACUUCCCCUGGGCCUCUGCAUCCUCACCUAGGUGGGUGAGAGCAGUGAAUCUACCUGCUUACCUCACAGGUGUGCCUUGAGCACUGUCAAGAGUGGGAAAGGCUUUGCAAAGUUCAGAGCAGGAUCCAGGUCUAGGGUGCAAUCCUUAUUGCUAGGUGGGUCAGUCAUUUGAUCUCCCUUUUGCCCAGCAAAGCCACUUCAUAAAACCCCUUGCUGGAAGGCCAGAUCCAGGUCCCUCUGCUUCCAUGCAUGCCUGCCUGCCUGCCUCCCACUGCCACUCCCCUGCUGCUCCACAUGCUAGCCUGGGUGCAUUCAGGGGCCCACUGUCUUGUUUUCUGAUGCCAGUGCUAGAAAAGUUCUGCUCUUUCUAAAGGAACAUGGUACUUUCAAGGCCUUUGAGAACCAUGCCGUAUGUCAUUCAUGGUCACUGAAUCACAGACAGGAUUCCAAAUGGGCCUGAGAGAUCAGAGUCUUGUCUGCACGCAGUGGCUCAUGCCUAUAAUCUCAAGCACUUUGGGAGGCUGAAGCAGGAGGAUCACUGGAGGCCAGGAGUUCAAGACCCACAACACAGCGAGACCCCAUCUGUACAAAUAAUAAUAAUAAUAAUUUUUAAAAAAGAGUUCGGCCUCAGGAUAUAAGUCCCAGCUCUUCUGUUUAUUAGCCAUGUGAUCCUGGGUGAGUUUCUUAACCUCCCUGCAACUCAGUUUUCUCAUUUGCAAUGUGGGGAUAAUAACAGUCCCUAAUUUUCAGGAUUACUGGAAAUACUGAAUAAAAAACUAAAUAAAUACUAAUUUAUUAAACACUUAGUGCCUGCAUUUAGUUGACACUCCAGAUUGAUAGCUAUUACUAAACCAUAUUUGAGGCUGGGCG